UACGGAGGGUGCAAGCGUUAUCCGGAUUCACUGGGUUUAAAGGGUGCGUAGGUGGGCAGUUAAGUCAGUGGUGAAAUCUCCGGGCUUAACCCGGAAACUGCCAUUGGUACUAUCUGUCUUGAAUAUCGUGGAGGUAAGCGGAAUAUGUCAUGUAGCGGUGAAAUGCUUAGAUAUGACAUAGAACACCAAUUGCGAAGGCAGCUCGCUACACGAAGAUUGACUCUGAGGCACGAAAGCGUGGGGAUCAAACAGG
rnacentral:rRNA from 1 species